UACGUAGGGGGCAAGCGUUGUCCGGAUUUAUUGGGCGUAAAGAGCGUGUAGGCGGCCAGGCAGGUCCGCUGUGAAAACUCGAGGCUCAACCUCGAGAGGUCGGUGGAAACCGUCUGGCUAGAGUCCGGAAGAGGAGAGUGGAAUUCCCGGUGUAGCGGUGAAAUGCGCAGAUAUCGGGAAGAACACCCGUGGCGAAGGCGGCCAACUGGACGGUGACUGACACUGAGACGCGAAAGCGUGGGGAGCAAACAGG
rnacentral:rRNA from 1 species